UGGAGACUUAAUGCACAGUAUAGUGACUACAGUCAGCAAUCCUGUAUUAUAAACUCCAAAGUUGCUAAGAGACUAGAUCUUAAUUGUUCUCACCACAAAAAAGAAACGCUGAUCACAUGACGUGAUAGAAGUGUCAGCUCGUGCUAGGACGGCAAUCGCAUCACAAUAUGCAAACGUAUCAAGUUAACCCAGCGCACACCUUAAACGUACACAAUGUUAUUUGUCAGUUAUAUCUCAGUUAAAAAUAUAGCAAGUACGCAGAAAUUAACAGUUCCUGGUGCAUAGAAACAUCUGAAUAAAUGUUAGCACUGAUGACUCGAGUUUUUAAGUGAGUUUUUAAGUGACUAGAGUUUUUAAGUGACUGGAGUUUAAAGUGGAUGCUUUGCAACAGGGCAGAUACCAACAGUCAUCCAGCAAAUACCUACAAGCACCUUCCCUGCGCAAGACCACGGUCAGAUCUUUGUCUGCGACUCCGCUAAAACCCACCCGCGCCCCUUUGUAAAUGCCGCCCCAUGUUUACAAUGUUUUCUAACGUUGUUGCUUUGCAGGAACACCAGACAAGGCAGAAGGAAAAUGAAUAAGCCGAACAGGUUAUUGCUGACAGCUUACGGGAACUCUUCUGUCUCCCAAGUUUGAAAAAGUGAAGCUGUUCCUGUUCAUCCCCAGGAAGAUGGGCUGUCGGCUGGCUAGCAAAAAGAGCUGUGUGAUAUUUGCAAAUGAAAAGUACACCACUCAAGGAAAGAACUUCUACGCAUCGUCCUGACAAUGUCCGCGCUUUGAUAACCAAAUCAGAAAAAAAAAGAGCGCAGAAACACGGAAUCAUAGAAACCUCUAGACGGAUGCAUAACGCCGGCAGUAGUCUUAAAACACCCCCAAGAAAUGUUCUCAAGUGUGGUUCUCAGCUAACUGUUCCUGCACGAGGAAAGGAAGACGCAAGCUGAUGUACACACACGUUUAGGUCUCUUAUUUCAACGACACGGAUUUGAAUUUGUUGAAAUAUCUUCCAUUGUCCACCAGUCCCCAAGGAAAACAGGAAAACAGGGACCCAGGUUGGCACUCCACCUCAUUUGGCCCAUGCUUCUGUGAAAUCAUAGACUUUUCGAGCUGGAAAAUUCACAGGGUCGCCUUGCUCUGUUUUUCACUUUGUAGAGAAGAAACUUGAGUCCGAGAAGCACGCUGUGUGCUCGGGCCUCACAGCUCAUUAGGAACACGACCCAGGCCCUUUCUUGGGCUGCUGGAAACUGAAUGCUUCUGCAGCACCUUAACAUCGUAUGAAUAACUUGUAAAAUGUAUACAUACAUGGAGCAUGGGUGCCGUAGAAAAGAUCAUCUAUAUCCUAGUACCCAAAUAAAUCAUUGUUUUCAUCUUUUUUUAAGAUUUUG
rnacentral:lncRNA from 1 species